UACGUAGGGUGCAAGCGUUAUCCGGAAUUAUUGGGCGUAAAGAGCUCGUAGGCGGCUUGUCGCGUCGACCGUGAAAACUUGGGGCUCAACCCCAAGCCUGCGGUCGAUACGGGCAGGCUAGAGUUCGGUAGGGGAGACUGGAAUUCCUGGUGUAGCGGUGAAAUGCGCAGAUAUCAGGAGGAACACCGAUGGCGAAGGCAGGUCUCUGGGCCGAUACUGACGCUGAGGAGCGAAAGCGUGGGGAGCGAACAGG
rnacentral:rRNA from 1 species